UUUGUAUAUUAAUAUCAUAUUCUUUUUACAGAAUAUGACAAACCAUGGAGGGACACUCCCUGGGGAGAGAAAGAUCAUUUGGAGAAAACACUGAAAGACUUUGGGCUGUGCGAUCCAAAUAUUAAGUAUGCAAGGAUCCUAGUAGUUGGAGAAAUUGGAGCAGGAAAGUCCAGCUUCAUCAACUCAGUCAAUAGUGUUUUCCAAAGAAGAAUCACAAACGAAGCCCUUGUUAACAAAACAACUGGCACAAGCAAAACCUUCACAAAAUUAUACAAAACCUAUUACAUAAGAAAUGGACAAUAUCCUAUGCCUUUUGUCUUAACUGACACCAUGGGCUUAGAGUCUGACAAUUUACAUGGCAUACAUCCAGAGGAUAUUGUGAAAGCCAUGGAGGGCUGCAUAAAGGAAAGAUACAAAUUCAAUCCAGAAUCUCCCAUUACUUCUCAAGAUAACGGCUACAGAAGAAAUCCAAGCCUUCAGGAUCAGGCAUACUGCCUAGUCUUUGUCAUUGCAGCUGACAAAAUCUCAGUGGCAGCUGAUAAUAAUAUCUAUGAGAAAGUGAAAGAUAUUAAGAGUAAGGCAGAUGAACUAGGUGAGUAUAAAGGAAAAUGUUGGAGAUGGUCUUCAUUAUCUUUGUCAUAGUA